CCACACCCAUCCUAGAUCCCCCACCACUCCUCCGCCGGAAGUUUUCGCCCACCCCAACGUAGACCUCCUCCCCCUUCAGCGAAUACAUCCUCCGGAGUAGAUUCAUAGCCCUGCGAUGAACCAUAUACCAGGCGCAGGAUCUCGACCUUCCAGCUCCUGUAGCGUGUAUCCUUCACGACGCCGUUGCGGUGGCCGUCGAGGCCGACCACUAGGUUAGGUUGUUGAUGAAAGCCGGUGGCCUGGAUGCCGACUCCGCCGGGUCGCCAAGCAAAGCGCCGUCUUUCUCCACCGCCUACGUGGCCUCCACCUCCACCAAGCCCCACACGCUGCCGCCUCUUCGGAUGGCGGACGGUGCAACAUUAAUAGGAAUGGAAGGGUGCUCAAUGGCCUCCUCCCUCUCUUAUAUUCUAAGCUGACAUGGGUGUGUUGUCAUGUCGUGCGGGAGCUCUACCCCAAGUCCCACAAUGGACGUUGUUGACAUCAGCACCCAAUGAGCUAUCAAUAUUUAUCUCAAGCAUUAUGUGGCGUAUUGCUGUUGUGGUAUGUCCCUCCUGUAUUAUUAUGACAUAUGAAGGCAGCAACGUGUCAUUGUGUGAUUUGCUACUUUUAUCAUGUUAAUUCUUAAUCCUUUCGUUCUAAUUUUUCAAUUCUGUUACUAGUUACUCCUUCUGAUGCUUUUUUCGAUUUGUUCCUAUUGACUUAGGCUUGGCAGCAAAGCUAAGAACGAGCAGACUAAUGAUCUCAUUGUUAUGCUACGUCCCUGUUCAAAGUUCAAUUACAUCCAUGGCAAUGUUCCUGCUGACCACCUUGCAUUGUAGUUUAGUCCUCUAUAAUCCAAAAUUCUUGUAAGCACUUACCAGCACAAUAUGAAGUUGAAACAUGUUGAGAAGAAUCAUGCUCUACAUGUAUGAGAUUAAAAUGUGAAGUGUCAGUAUAUCAAUUGAGAAGGUUGUAUGGAUGAAUGGAGCUUUGCAUUCUCAUGUGGUUUCAGAGCAAGGAGGGGAAAGAAUACAAAUAGUACUCGACCAGCUACUGGAGCAGGGGAGGAGGAGCAGGACUGGGCAUAGUACUUGACCAACGGCUAGAGAAGAACUAGGAAAAAGAGAAGGUGAAGGCCAACCACCGUUCUUAAACCAGAUUUAGACCUACCCCGGAAAAAAGAACACUAUGUGUUUGCGCUGGCGACAUGCAUUUGCAGCGCAACAAGUCGAAGAAGGACUACCCCACCCAGUGGUCAUAGCUAGCCUCCGUGAGCUGCUACUGGUGGUUGCCCGUGAGAGAUGCUUCUGGUGGUCGCGAGCACCACUGGGAGGACUAGUGGGUGUCGCUUGCCUAGGUGGUCUUGACUGCACCGGGUAGUGGGUGUUCCAUGAUGAGCUCGAGGAGGCACGGACUAGCGACACCUCUAUGUAGGUGGUCGUCCAGCCAGAUGUGCCACAGCGGAAACAAAGUUUACAAAUGCGAGCACAAGAAAUGAAGAAUAUCUUGUAUUUGAGGUUGUUCUUGUAGCGGAAAAAGAAGUAGAUUGAGGUCACCAUCUUGUGUAUUUGAGGCCUAAAUGCUUGUCCCAGUUCGUGUGCAGCGACCAACCCUUCCAACCAGAGAGAAGGUUGAACAUAUGUCGGGUUGACAAUGAAACUGGAUUAGAUAAAGUUAGGCGAGUGACAGGCGUUGUUGCUGCAGACUACUUUGUGCCUGGAUAUUUUAUUUGGGUGUUUUUGAUUGCUAAUUUAGCUCAUGUUGGAUGUGAAGAAAAUAACAUGUACACUGCUGCAUAUCUCUCUACAGAACACCGAGGUAACUUUUUGAUGCAUUAUACAAUGUGAAUAAUGACAGAAUCCCAUACCACUUGUUGUAUUCUCCUCACUGUGUAACCAUAAAUGCGGCGAUGCCCAGCUUGUCACUGCUUUGGCAUGCUAGCUAUUCUGGAUUGGCACCAGUAAUAAAGCAUUUCCUAUUUGAUGAUUUACAAAAUUAUCAAUAAGAAAUGACAUCCUUCUGUUCUGUGCUCUACAUGUUAAUAUAUCAUGUGGCUAGCUUUCUGUAUAGAGCUUCUCUUCCUUCUUGGUGGUUCGUUGGCUGUGACCUUGAGUUGUGCUAUUCUAUUUUCUCUUGCUGCCGUUGUUGGCUCAUAUGCGUCGGUGUUCGUCAUUGUUGCCAGCCUUCUGGUGUUGGGCUACGCUGGUUGGAUGUGGCCUCGUUCCGGGGUUUUCCACCACGGUUUGUAGAAGAGAAAUGGUUUUGGACAUUGGCCAUGCAGCUCAAUGAUGCCCUGAUUCCAAGCCAUUUGCUAGUGAUGUACGUCUUGCAAUGGCACUAGUUGAACUGCACAAUAAGGUCAUCUUCCUAGCUGUUCGAAACAAGAUGGUAGACGGCCGAAGAAAAUCCUGAAGGCCUUGCGGGGCAAUGGAGAAACCAGACAAAUGGUGGCAUGCUUGCAGAUGGAUGCAUGAUACGUCCAAAACCAGAACUGCUCUGGUGUCUCGUUUUUGUGCAGAAAUCCAACUUUCGGGAAAAUCCUCGGAAUUUAUGCAGAAGACCCUAUUUUCCCAGGAAACUAACGGAGCCAGAAGGACAAUUGAGGUGGAGGCCCGAGGGCCCCACACCAUAGGGCGGCGCGGCCCAGGGGGGCCCGCGCGGCCCUGUGGUGUGGCCCCCUCGGCCGGCCUCCGACGCCCUCCUUCGGACUAUUUAUCGGCCUCGACCUAAAAACGCACGGGGAGAAGUCGAAGUCGCCAGAAACCCUCCAGAACGCCGCCACAUCGCGAAACUCCGUCGCGGGAGCCAGAAGUCUCCGUUCUGGCACUCCGCCGGGAUGGGGAAUUGGAGGAGAUCAUCGCCGCCAUCACCGCCAACGCCUCUACAUCAACCAGCCAUGUUUCCCCCAUCCAUGUGUGAGUAAUUCCCCCGCUGUAGGCCGAAGGGGAUGGUAGGGAUUGGAUGAGAUUGGUCAUGUAAUAGCAUAAGAUUGUUAGGGCAUAGUGCCUAGUGUCCGUAAUUGGUACUUUGAUGAUA